rnacentral:tRNA from 1 species
CAGUAAAUAGUUUAUGAAAAAUAUAAUAUUUGGGUUAUUAAGAAUAGAUACUGAU